rnacentral:piRNA from 1 species
UUCUAAGGAGACCUUAACUGGGAUGGA